CUUGUCCCGGGAGCGAGGCGGCAGCAGGUUGUUCUCCAGUUCUUCCACCCGCACGCACCCGCGUAUGUCGCGCGGUCGCGGAGCUCUCCGGAGGGAAACUCGCCGGGAAAGUUUCUUCCCCUCGGUGGUGCGGGCCGGCCCGGGACUGCCGGUGUGCUGCUGCGGGUUCCGGGCCGGGGGAGAGCGGCCCCGGGCUGCGAGCGGGACGGUGCGGGGCAGCCUUCGGGGCAGGCCGGAGAAAGUGUUCAAUGAUCCAGCUGAGGACUGCACAGCUGAGUGCUAUUGCAGCAGUACUUCAAAGGAGCACAUCUCUGAGUACUUAAGGAGCCUUGUCCUACAGGCAGAAAUACGUUAACAAGUAAACAAGGACUCAAAGUGAAUCUGUGCACACAAUCAAGUUACAGCUUUGUUCCCAGCUAUUACAGUCUAUAGCCUUACUAACCAAACCAGCUAAUAAUACUAAUGCAUUGUAGCCAAGGUACUCUGCUCUUACUGGGCAAGUUUAGUCCAUGCAUGUGGAUGGAUGUCUGUGGCCAGUCUACAAGCCACUUCGUAAAAGCUCACCUAUGUGUGUUGGGGUCACACUGUUCAGAAAGCUUCUUCCUCGGGCUUCAGUGCCAGCCUAGCAUUAGUAUUUUCUUCAACAAGAAACUACUGCAUUAUGACACAUCCAUAAUCCCAGAGAACCUGAAAAGACGGGAUACUUCUUCCUCUGGAGAGAAGCAUCAGAUUUGCAGCUGAUUCCCAAAAAGAACGGAGUAUAGAAUUUUUAAAAAGCUUUACUCACUUCAGAUCACAUUUUGAGGACAAACUAGUUGAUGCCACCAGAUGAACUAACUCUCCAGAUCCUUGCUGUUGUUGUUCUAGUUCUGCUCAAUACAAGGAAACUAUGCCAAAAUGCAUGGACAUUUGCUGCCAUUGAGAGCUGUUAAACUAAACCACCAGGGAGUUUGUUCAUUCAAUGGCCAGGCAGUGUGGCUGUGAACAUGAUGCUGCUCAUCCUUGCGAUGUGCUAAUGUCCAAAUGCCUCAGUCUGACAGCAGCAACCUGGCAAGAGGAGAAGUCACUUGUCUGCUUUGGAAAAUCCCCACAACUAAGUGCAAUUAGAGAUCACCACACCAAGCAGCAGAAGUGAAUCAGCUAACUCAGUAUUCUCUCUUGCUGUGGUCUGUGCAGGCUGAUUCAGAGGAGAGUGCACAGAAAACCACAAAGCAAAUAUAUCAAAUAACUUCUCUGAAAGUAGAUUUUUUUAGUAGAAUUUUAGUAGGUGGCAGUGCCAGUCAAAGAAAAAGAACAAUGGUACUACAAAAUAACCAACUGUGAAAACUAUGGUGAUUGUAACCAUCCUUCCGAAAUACUUUUUUUAGCCUUUAAAAAAAAGUUUGACAGUUCUACUUUUUCUUCUCAAAGUUCAGAAGAAAAAUUCUGUAGUUAAGAUCACAAACACAUGUUCCUAAUAAGGCAUCCUUAGGAAAAGACAACAAAAUACUCAGGCAUGAAUCAACGACAGCAUUAGUUCAACUCACUUGUAUUUGUCUGUAAUUUGGUAUAUAUGAAUACCAGGGAGCCAUCUGGCUAUCUGCGUUUCUUUUUCAUAUGUGCUAGCUAUAUCAGAGAUAAAAAGGUAGAAUGGAACACUGAAGAAAAUUAUGGGGAUUUCCGACACUCCCUCAAGGACUUUGGAUUUUAUAAAAUAGUAAAUGAACUACAAAGAGACAAACACAAAACUUUAAUCUGUGAGAUACCAUCAUACUUGUAUAUCUGUUAGGCAAAUCAAGAGUAUGCUAAUUUGAAAAACAAAAAGCAAAUUGAGACAUGAAUAAGCAUGCCAUAUUGAUUUAUUUGUAUUUAACGUGCAUAUGUGCAGGUCAGAGCAAGAUAAUUAACUUUAAAAAGUAGUUUGAACUUCACAGCUGGGCUGAGUGAAAUGGUUAAAGUUUUACUUCAAAUGUUUUCUAAUAGCAUGCAUUAGCUUCAAGCAAAACUCAUGGAAUGGAAAUUACUUUUCCAAACCAUGAGGUGGGGUUUCAGUAUCUACUGGCACAAAUCAGCCCUAUGAGUGAAAUGAAAAGUAUGCAAGACACUUGCUUUCCAGGCUGUGUAUUUUACGGGCUAACAUGGGGAUGAGGACAAUUAAGUUCAGCUCAGCUUUGCAGCUGAUUUUUAAUUAUUGAUAUAUGCACAAAGCAAGCAGAGUGCUGUAGGGUUUGCUUCUUCUCCUGAUUUGGUGCACGUGGGUUUUAUAACUGCAUGAAGUCAAGGGCAGAGUCAGGCCCUUGCUCUCAGCUUAGGAAUUGGAGCAGUUCUGACCCCACAGUGCGAUCUGAGCAGGCAAACACUCGUGGCCAAAACAAGCAGAUGCUGAUUUUGUUGUAUCUGUGCAUGGUAUUUGCUUCUUACCCAAACAAAUUAUCCUCAUGGACUCAGGCCUAGCUUUAGACCUAAACACUAACUGAAGCCAGGAAGAAGAAAGUCAAGGGUAGAUCUGAGCUUUUACUUUAGGUUUUGGUUUGGUGUUUGGCUUUUAUGUUUUGUUUUUUGUUUGUGUUUUUCUUCCCCACUUAGGUUUUAAGCUCCUGAAAAAGUGAAAAAAUAUUGGAGGCAGUAGGAGCACAAGGAUCACAGCUUUAAAAGAUGAGAGCAAUGCAGAUGGUGGAGGAAGAAGACAGAAAUCUCCUAAGACACAGGUUGAAUGGUAAAGACGGCGUGGUUGAAAAGAGUCAGAUUCUUCACCAUUCCUAAUGAGCUGGAGUGCAUAAUAGGAAUGUGGUUUCAAUGCAGUGUAGAAGAACAGUGACAAACCUCUCUGUAAGAAACUCCAAGGCUUCAAACCUUCAUCAGUUUUAAUAAAUGGGAGACAGCAAGAAAGUCAACAAAACACUAAAAUGUAAAAGAUUUAUUUGUGAUUGCAACUUUCUUCUUUUCUUACAGGAAGAAAAAAUAAUGUGUUUCCUUGUAUUUAGUACAGUACUUUCCACUCUGAUUUCAG